AGUAAUGUAUGGGGAUCUGCCUGAUGGCGGGGGAUAACUACUGGAAACGGUAGCUAAUACCGCAUAAUGUCUGCGGACCAAAGCGGGGGACCUUAGGGCCUCUUGCCAUCGGAUGUGCCCAGAUGGGAUUAGCUAGUAGGUGGGGUAACGGCUCACCUAGGCGACGAUCCCUAGCUGGUCUGAGAGGAUGACCAGCCACACUGGAACUGAGACACGGUCCAG
rnacentral:rRNA from 1 species